UCCUGUUUGGUCAGUCAGUGGCUAAGAAUCCAAUGGAGAUUGUGGUUUCUGGAUAUGGUAUUCAAGAUGGAACUCACUGUGGGAGAGCUUAUGUGUUAUUCUGGUUAGUACAAGUAUGAUAGAAAAUGGCUCAGGGAUCCUCUUAUCCGUCAUCCCUGAACCUCUCCCAUGGCCAAGAUCCAAAUUCUUAUGUUUCCACUAAAAGCUUUCCCCUGAUCAGCUUACAAGGCCUCCGAUUUGUACUUCGACUUUCCAGACAUGUAACCACAAGGUGUCCUUGAAGAGGCUCUGGGUGAUGAGCACUUGGCAGAGGCAGGGAUGCUCUUUCCAGAGAAAUGCUUCCAUGAGAAUGAGACGGAAACAGCUUGCAGUCUAUUCAUCAUGGUUUGGUAUCCUGUGGAUUUUGCUGGAAUGAAUCAAAUAAAACAUUUUCAGGAAACAACUGGGCAGGAAGUAAAGGAAGACGGAAUUUCAUCCUGGGAGGUUUGAUUCCCACAAGUAUGGCGCUGCGGUGGGAGCCGCCAGGAAGCAUUGUCGGCACAUGGGGACCGUUGUGCUUUAUGAAUUCCAGCUGUUCAGAGCAUCUGAGAGUCACACAGUGGGGCAGAGCAAGACUCUAUUUUAUUCCAACAUAUUUCUAUUAGAUGAACUCCUGCUAGAAAUUGGGAACUAGCUAAAAAUUGUGUGCAUCAACUCAUCAUACAUGGACAUCAGGCAUAGAUCUGAGAAGGUGACUCAAUCCAUGCCUCUUGGAGUUGGGCCAGGUGAAAGCAUGCAUUCUAUGUGGAUAUGAGCCAACAUGAGAUCUGAAUGGAGCUCACCUCAUUCUAGGAUGAGGAGAUAGAGUGAAAUGUGGGUGUCGGGGAGGGAGACAAGUAUUUCCAAGUAAAGGGAAGAAAGCAACAUUCUAAAACCCAGAGAAAGGACAGACCUCUGAAAAAUAGUUUAUCAUAAAAACCAGGAUAAAAUUGUUUGGUGCACUCCUAGGAUGCAGGAAGACAUGACACUAUAAAAUGGGUACAAAAUACUAGAAAGGACGUAUAGCUGACAUGAAAAAACAGCGGCGUUAAGUGAAAAGAGGUACAUGAAAGGAGAAAACAGAACCAACGGAACAACUAAAAUACCAUAGUGAUCAUUCAUUUGUUAUUUAUUCGGGAAACAUUUAAUGUUCACAUAUGUGCCAGGCUCAAAAUAGAAACAGUAAGAAGAGUUAACAUGGUCAAAACUGAAUCAGAGACAUGGAAGAUAAAUUAGGGAAGAUUCUCAAAAAUGUAGGGAGGACAAAGAGAUGGAAAUGAGAGAGAAGAUGAUUGACAUGGAAGACAGGAACUGGAGAUUUAAUCUAGCAAUAACAGAUGCUUCUGGUGAUUCAAAAAAAAGCAAACAAGGACAAUUGGAAUACAAACCAUGAUCAAAGAAAAAUUUCCUGAGUUUAAAAAGAACAAACAAAUAUGAUAUGUAAGCAGAACUAGUUUACCACAUUCCAGAUGAAAUCAAUGAAAAGAGAAUAAUCUUUAGGCAAAACCUGAAAUUUUAAAAAAUUAAUAAUGAUUUAAAAAAUAUUCAUGUAGGGUAAAAAUUACCUAUGAAGAAACAGCACCCAGGCUGGCUCCAGACCUUCCUUUUGUAAAACAAAAUGCCAGAUGAAAAUGUAGCAAAAAAUUGCCAAAGUUGUGAAGCUAAAUGGUUGAAAACAAGUAAGCUUACAUACAACAGAACUUUGUAUAAAAAUGCAAAGAUAGCUUGAAAUAUGUUAGAUUUUGGAAAACAUCAUGAAAAUUACUAUAACUAUUCCAACUUACUGAGGGCUUGGGGUUCUGUAAAUAACACCCAUCUUCUCCGCCUAAGUUCUGAACUAAUUUAGAAAUAGAAGUUGGGCAGAUGGGCCAAAAUAUUCCUGUCAUGUUUUUGAUAACGCUCAUAUUGGAGAAUGUGCCUUAUAUCUGUGGACUACUGGAUUUCUUAACUAAACUCUAGGAUGAGAUUGCUGUACCCACAAAUGUCUUUUCCUUGUGGGUAUGUGUUCUGAGAAACGUCCAGCAUAGAGAGGCUGAGCUUCAGAACAGGUGCUUCCUGAAGGCAGGCUUGGUUCAGAAAGGAUGAGGCCAUUCCAAACAGAUCCAGGUUUUAGCCCAAACUUGCUGGUCAGGUAAGUCACUGUUCCACUCUGAUGCCCACCUAGGGAAAAGUGAGCAAGGGGAUGGGAAAAGGGGCCAGGAGUGUUCCACUGGUGACAUUAGGACUAAGGAAGAAGCAUCCCCCUUCUCCCUGUUGCAUCAAUCCAACCUCCCUUCCUGUGCCCCCUCCCCACCCGAUGCAGCUGCCUGAAAAAUAAAUGAAAAUGAAAAACUGAAUAUUGGAGAAGUUGUGAUAUAAAAGGUCUGACAUUUGUGCUCCUUAUUGGAACCUAUACU